GACAGCUAGGAUGUUGGCUUGGAAGCAGCCAUUCAUUCAAAGAGUGCGUAACAGCUCACUAGUCGAGAAUUCCGGCGUGGAUAAUAAUCGGGUAUUAAGUCGUCCGCCGAAGACGUGGAAUUGGUAUUAUUUUUUGAUACUGAUUGGUAGGGGAGCAUUCCAUUUACUUAGAAGGUUAUCUGUGAGGGUUGCUGGAGUUUAUGGAAAAGCAAAUGUAGGAAUGAGUAACGAUAAGGAGGGUUAGACUCCCUCCCGCCGAAAGACUAAGGUUUCCUGAUCUACGCUCAUCGGAUCAGGGUUAGUCGGGUCCUAAGGCUAAUUCGAAAGGAGAUGUCGAUGGUUCAAACGGUUAAUAUUCCGUUACUUCCUAUGCUUAGUGAUGUGGUGACGGAGCAGUGACAGCGCUGCCGGCAGACGGAAUUGCCGGUUAAAUGGUUUAGGUGUUGAUAGGUAUAGGCAAAUCCGUACCUUGAGCUGACCCUUAUAGUACAGACACCUUUCGGGGUGUUUGAUAAUGCGUGUAAUCAUACUUCCAAGAAAACCCGCUAAACGUUUUUAUGGCAUAGGAACCCGUACCUUAAACCGACACAGGUAGUUGUGUAGAAUAUACUAAGGCGCUUGAGAGAAUCAUGGUUAAGGAACUAGGCAACUUGACCCCGUAACUUCGGGAUAAGGGGUCCUCCGUUUAUUCGGAGGCGCAGAGAAUAGGUCCAGGCAACUGUUUAUCAAAAACACAGGGCUGUGCUAAGUAUUACUACGAUGUAUACAGCCUGACACCUGCCCGGUGCCGGAAGGUUAAGAGGAGACGUUAGCGCAAGCGAGGCGUUGAAUUGAAGCCCCGGUAAACGGCGGCCGUAACUAUAACGGUCCUAAGGUAGCGAAAUUCCUUGUCGGGUAAGUUCCGACCUGCACGAAUGGUGUAAUGAUCUGGACGCUGUCUCAAUCAUGAUCUCAGUGAAAUUGUAGUAUCGGUGAAGAUGCCGAUUUCCCGCGAUGGGACGAAAAGACCCCGUGAACCUUUACUAUAGCUUAACGUUGCGUUUGGGCCACUGAUGUGUAGGAUAGGCCGGAGGCUUUGAAGUAGUGACGCCAGUCAUUAUGGAGCCGCUGUUGAAAUACGGCCCUUUUGUUGUCUGGAUGCUAACGCGUUUAUUUUCGCGGACACCGUUUGGUGGGUAGUUUGACUGGGGUGGUCGCCUCCAAAAUGGUAACGGAGGCUUCUCAAGGUACCCUCAUGACGAUUGGUAACCGUCAGUAGAGUGUAAUGGCAUAAGGGUGCUUGACUGAGAGACCUACAAGUCGAUCAGGUAGGAAACUAGAGCAUAGUGAUCCGGUGGUUCCGUAUGGAAGGGCCAUCGCUCAAAGGAUAAAAGGUACUCCGGGGAUAACAGGCUGA
rnacentral:rRNA from 1 species